rnacentral:misc_RNA from 1 species
GAGAGAGACAGAGAGACAGAGAGACAGAGAGAGUGGUGUUUUGAUAGCAGUUCUUUUCGUUUUCUUUUAUGUGGCUUAACAAGCAAUAUGUCGUUUGCCAGCUCCAGGAGAUCAAUCAUAUACUCUUCUUCUCUGGCAGUACUGGUGGUGUUCCUCAUCUUUGUGUUGCAGAUUUGGAUGUGCAGUGAGUGCAAGGCAGGAGCUAUUCGGAUAUUUCCAGACAAUGGCAUUCCUCCAAAUCUAAAACCGAAAAAUAUCAGUACUACUGAUAAUAAGGCCAGCAAAGAAGACCUAUUUCAUAAGUUCUUCAAUGGAAGGACUUCCAGUUUCAACACGAGUAAGAAAGGAUUUGAAGAGAACAAAAGAAGAGUGCCCAGUUGCCCAGAUCCUCUCCACAACUAGUAUAAUUACUCGAUUUCCCUUUAUUUUUUCCUUUAAUCUUAUCCAAAAUACCCACGUUUUUCCCAUAAUUUUCGAGCUGGUAUUCUGGCUGGUUUUAGUAAUUUUAAAGGGAAAAAGGGGGGUAUUUUGGCAUCUUUAUUCUUCUUUUUUUUUUUUU